rnacentral:rRNA from 1 species
GUACGGCGAGUGAGCGGGAGAGCUCAAAUUUGAGAUCUGGUAGCCUUCGGUUGCCCGAGUUGUAAUCUAGAGAAGUGUUUUCCGUGCCGGCCCAUGUACAAGUCCCUUGGAACAGGGCGUCAUAGAGGGUGAGAAUCCCGUCCUUGACAUGGACCCCCGGUGCUUUGUGAUACACUUUCAACGAGUCGAGUUGUUUGGGAAUGCAGCUCAGAAUGGGUGGUGAAUUCCAUCUAAAGCUAAAUAUUGGCGAGAGACCGAUAGCGAACAAGUACCGUGAGGGAAAGAUGAAAAGCACUUUGGAAAGAGAGUUAAACAGUACGUGAAAUUGUUGAAAGGGAAACGAUUGAAGUCAGUCAUGCUCUUGGGACUUACCUCCCUUGAGUGGGGUCAACAUCAGUUUUGAUCGAUGGAUAAAGGCACGGGGAAGGUAGCACUCUCGGGUGAACUUAUAGCCUCGCGUCAUAUACAUUGAUUGGGACUGAGGAACGCAGCAUGCCUUAUGGCCGGGAUUCGUCCACGUACAUGCUUAGGAUGUUGACAUAAUGGCUUUAAACGACCCGUCUUGAAACCACGGACCA